CUACUCACUUUGGCAGCACAUAAACUAAAAUUGGAAUGAUACAGAGAAGAUUAGCAUGGCCCCUGAGCAAGGAUGACAGAAAUUUGUGAAGCAUUCCAUAUUUAA
rnacentral:snRNA from 1 species